rnacentral:rRNA from 1 species
AACGGAGGGAACAAGUGUUAUUCGUAUUGAUGGGUGUAAAACGCGCGUAGAUGGUAUUUCUAGUUUUAUGCUAAAUUUUUUCUUUUAAAAGUAAUCAAAGCAUAUUUAUACGGUUAUACUAGAGUUCUUAUAAUAUAACAGUAUUCAAAGUGUAAGGUGGCAUUUAAAAUAUUUUGGAGACUAGCAAUAGACGGAAGUGGUGUUAAGAGGAAAACUGACAUUGAGGCGCUAAAGCUUAGUAGCAAAUAGG